GGGUUGUGAGGUUAAGCGACUAAGCGUACACGGUGGAUGCCCUGGCAGUCAGAGGCGAUGAAGGGCGUGCUAAUCUGCGAUAAGCGCCGGUAAGGUGAUAUGAACCGUUAUAACCGGCGAUACCCGAAUGGGGAAACCCAGUGUGACUCGUCACACUAUCAUUAACUGAAUCCAUAGGUUAAUGAGGCGAACCGGGGGAACUGAAACAUCUAAGUACCCCGAGGAAAAGAAAUCAACCGAGAUUCCCCCAGUAGCGGCGAGCGAACGGGGAGGAGCCCAGAGCCUGAAUCAGCAUGUGUGUUAGUGGAAGCGUCUGGAAAGUCGCGCGAUACAGGGUGACAGCCCCGUACACAAAAGCGCAUGUGUUGUGAGCUCGAUGAGUAGGGCGGGACACGUGGUAUCCUGUCUGAAUAUGGGGGGACCAUCCUCCAAGGCUAAAUACUCCUGACUGACCGAUAGUGAACCAGUACCGUGAGGGAAAGGCGAAAAGAACCCCGGCGAGGGGAGUGAAAAAGAACCUGAAACCGUGUACGUACAAGCAGUGGGAGCCCCACCACCAAAGCAUUCUCUGGUGUUGAAGGCCCUGCAAAGCAGCAUCGCGGUGGCGGAGCGUCGUUUGCGACGCCCAACACAAAAAACAAGCGGUGAGUGCUUUGGGGUGGGGUGACUGCGUACCUUUUGUAUAAUGGGUCAGCGACUUAUAUUCUGUAGCAAGGUUAACCGAAUAGGGGAGCCGUAGGGAAACCGAGUCUUAACUGGGCGUUAAGUUGCAGGGUAUAGACCCGAAACCCGGUGAUCUAGCCAUGGGCAGGUUGAAGGUUGGGUAACACUAACUGGAGGACCGAACCGACUAAUGUUGAAAAAUUAGCGGAUGACCUGUGGCUGGGGGUGAAAGGCCAAUCAAACCGGGAGAUAGCUGGUUCUCCCCGAAAGCUAUUUAGGUAGCGCCUCGUGAAUUCAUCUCCGGGGGUAGAGCACUGUUUCGGCUAGGGGGCCAUCCCGGCUUACCAACCCGAUGCAAACUGCGAAUACCGGAGAAUGUUAUCACGGGAGACACACGGCGGGUGCUAA
rnacentral:rRNA from 1 species